GCUAAGGACGGGGUUUUGUCAUGCAGUUCCUGUAAUGUGGCUAUUGUUCAGUUUAGAAGCAACCAGUAAGCAUCACUGGCUCAGGAUGCUCCCUCCAUUGAAAAGGGGGCCUAAUUCAAAGCCUAUAAAAGACAUUUGUGACUUUCAACCCAACUGGUAAUGCAGAGUGAAGAAAACAGAUUGAAACCACACAGCUUUUGGGUCCUAUUCCAAAACAUGACCCUGUGUGGUUUCCUUCAUGUAGUUCUGAAGAUUUCUCCAAAGUCCACAAUAGUCUUUUAUCUCUUCAAACACUAGAGGGCAAGAAGUUACUCUGUGUUGUCAAGAAAAGGAAGAAGCAGUCUCAAAUGAUUUAUUCUGAUCACGCUUCAUUUCCCUGCCACCUAUUUGAAAGAGUAAUCUCACUGGCAGCAAAUGCAUCAGACAAUAUAAGACUGCAUCAACACAAACUCUAUCUCUGAAGACUGCACGCAUUUAAAUCGCUGUCAUUUCUUUCGGUUUUAAUAUGUGUGGAUGUGAAAAGUUUACGCAGAAGGUAUUACAAGGAAGAGUCAGUGAAAUGGCUCAGCGAGGUCAAGCAACCAUCAUGAAGACCUGAACACCUGUGUUCAACCACCAGAACCUGAAGAGAAAAGGGGGAAAGAGAGAAUGGAGUCCAUUGCAGCCUCCGUGGGCCUUCAUGUGCCUGCUGUGAAUUCUUCCAUCCUCUAAUUUCCACAUAUAAUAUGGGCACAUGCAAAUCAUAAUAAAA